UCCAUGACAACCAGCACCCCAGGGCUGCCCUGAGUCAACGACUCCUAGAAGAAAAUACAAAUCGUUUUGCUAAAUACAAAGUCUGAAUCUUAAAUUUGGAGAUUUCAUUAAGUAUUGCUGCUGGCAAAAAUGCAAGGUGCGAAUAAAAUCUUCUGAACAAAGCCUGAGACAUGGUCCGUUCACAGCCCUCCAGCCAAAACUGGGACUAAAGAGAGAGACUGCUGCGACUGCUGACGACAGGUACUCUACACUGCGCUGCAGGGACAAUGAGAGACCAGCUCUGUGGCUACUGGACCUAGAGAACAUGGCAGAAGGGAUGUGCCCAUGCUGGUGUCUGAGCACAGGCCUUAAGAAACUGGCAGCUGUUUCCAUUUCCAAUCUUCUAGGACUCUCACCCUUGGACAGGUUCGCCACAGUACAGGAACGGUGGUGAACUCUGCAUGGGCCAGAGGCCCCACUUACUUCCUGGCUGACGGCCAGCACCAACCUACCAGCCCUGUGAGGGAACCACCCCGAAAGCAGAUCCUCCAGGCCCUUCACAGCUGCCUCAGUUACACAGAGCGGGGACAAGCUCUCCUGCCAAAUCCUGCCUAAGCUACAGACCGGUAAAUGUGGGAGUUUCCUACAUCUGCAAUCUAUUUAUCAGAUCAGAAAACAGGCUAAGAAAACAUUGGAAACAGCAGACACUUGGAUUUAUAAGCUUACCUGCAGCUGCACUGGUGGAUGUAAUAGAUGCAGAGGGUAAAGCAGAGUUUUGAAUAGGUCUACCUGCAUUUUCAGAGGGCAGAGAGCUAGUAGUAGAAGGAAUACUCAUCAAAGGCUGUGAGAGAAGAGACUGGUUCUUGUUCAGUAUUUGGCUCCCUGAGAGAGCGGCAGAUGGGUUCUGAACUUGCACUUGAACUUGAGACAUGGUCACUUUCAACAAAAGUGAACAACUGCAGGUAAACAGCUUUCAGUGCAGAUUAAUUCAGUGCUAUGAAGUCUAAAGUUCUACCUGAAAGUUGUAAGGGAAAGAAAAUAAAAAGGUAAAUUAUAGAGAUGAUAUGUAAUUGCCAAUAUUCAGUCAAAACUGGUGUCCACUACUCGAGUCUGAAAAUAGCUCUGCUGAGCAUACAGCUAUGUUGAUUUAUUAGAAGUGUACUUCUCCUUGGUCUAUAGUAAGAUUCCUAGCGUUGUGACUUUCUCAGUGUCUUUAAAUGAUUUACAAUAUUCACAUGCUCUACGCAUUAAUUUUAUGAACAGAAUCAGUAGGGUGUAACAUUUAUUGCUAAAUAUUAAGAAUUAUGAACUACUGUUUAUAUUCAAAAAUGCAAAUUUAGAAGUAUGGAGUGGUCUUCCACAGUGUAUGAGAUAGGAGAAAGGUUUCUGGUCUCAAAAUUAUAAGAUGCUGGAAGCAAGCUGGGUUCCUAACACCAUUAGUCCAUUCACAGGUGAAAGUGAAUAUGACUGCCAUUUAUGGGCCACACCUCAGAUUUGUACCCUUAGAGCUUUCCUUUAAGUGGACUGAAGAAAGGAAGGAAUUCCCAUUUGCAUUGUUUCUUUUCUCCUUAAAAUGAGAAAGGGUCUGUAGGUUCAUUUAGUUACAGGCCCCAAACAAGAAAGGGCUGCGCCCAUAUCAAAGUUCAUAACCCUGAGAAAUUCUCGGAAUAGCAAAGAACAUUCUAAGGUAUUUGUACGAUUAAAAGCAAAAAAUGGAGAAGAUGAAGAGGAACAGAUUUUAGAUUGGCAAUUUACUGUAAGGAGGAAAGGUGCAGAUUCUGGGGAGCAAAGGAGAUUGUAUUCUUCCAUCUUGUAUGUUCCAAAUAUUUCUAAAUAUAUUUAAAUUUUUCACAGGUC